rnacentral:rRNA from 1 species
AGUGAACGCUGGCGGUAGGCCUAACACAUGCAAGUCGAACGGCAGCACAGUAAGAGCUUGCUCUUACGGGUGGCGAGUGGCGGACGGGUGAGGAAUACAUCGGAAUCUACUUUUUCUUGGGGGAUAACGUAGGGACACUUACGCUAAUACCGCAUACGACCUACGGGUGAAAGCAGGGGAUCUUCGGACCUUGCGCGAUUCAAUGAGCCGAUGUCGGAUUAGCUAGUUGGCGGGGUAAAGGCCCACCAAGGCGACGAUCCGUAGCUGGUCUGAGAGGAUGAUCAGCCACACUGGAACUGAGACACGGUCCAGACUCCUACGGGAGGCAGCAGUGGGGAAUAUUGGACAAUGGGCGAAAGCCUGAUCCAGCCAUACCGCGUGGGUGAAGAAGGCCUUCGGGUUGUAAAGCCCUUUUGUUGGGAAAGAAAAGCAGCAGGUUAAUACCCCGCUGUUCUGACGGUACCCAAAGAAUAAGCACCGGCUAACUUCGUG